CUCCACCCAGCCCCUGUGCCCCUCACUUCCUGUUUCCGCUGCCCUGGAUGCCCCAAAUCCUGCCCUCACCCGGUCCCGUGCGUCAGCCCAGCAGCGCGCGGCGCAGGUGAAACAGCUCGGUCUCUCAACUCCGGAGACAGGCAGCCGCCCUGGGGUCACUCGGCUGCGCCCCUCAAAGGGUCCCUGGUGCCCGCAGGCGCAGGCGGGCAUCCUCCAAGCCGACUCCAGCCCUUACUGGGCUCUCAGGACCUGUGAAGCCUGGCUCCACCCUUUCAACCACGCUGCCCUCCACCCGCUCCUGCACCCUCCAGUUCCUGUCUACACCGCAGUUUCUCCUGCAAGAACCUGUGGAGCGGCUGGACCACAGCCCGCAAGCCUCCUGGCUCUGCGCCUCUCCUAACUCCGCUCCAGGCCUUGCUGCAUCCUCGGGGAAGCUCCCCGCCCUUCCUUCCGGGCUCAGAGCUCUCGCACCGGGAAGCGGGAAGCGCUUUCCCGGGAGACAGGGGCACUGGGCAGUCGCGGAUUUCUAGGAGACCGAGGUCUGCUUCCCACAGCAUGAGCUCCCUGGGGCGGGGACUGCGACCCAGAUGGGCCGUCUCCGUCCCGGGACCCAGCCCUGGGCCAGCAGACACAGGCAGAACCGACGCCCGCGCGCCGGGCUCAGGGGCCGGGGCUUCGUCCUGCAGGACUUCAGAACGGGUGGGUGGAGCCACCAUUCUCCUGGGGAGCUGCUGCUCAGGGCGCCCAGGACACCCUUACUCCUUCCG
rnacentral:lncRNA from 1 species